rnacentral:rRNA from 1 species
GACGAACGCUGGCGGCGUGCUUAAUACAUGCAAGUCAACUGAACUUGAGGUAGCAAUAUCACAAGAGAGGUGGCGCACGGGUGAGUAACACGUAGGUAAUCUGCCUUUAGGUCUGACAUAAUUCCGCGAAAGCGGGACUAAUAUCAGAUGAUGCAGCGGCUCGACAUCGAGACAGUUGUUAAACCUUCGGGGCCUAAAGAUGAGCCUGCGUCUGAUUAGGUAGUUGGCGGAGUAAAAGCCCACCAAGCCUGCGAUCAGUAGCUGGUCUGAGAGGAUGAUCAGCCACACUGGAACUGAGACACGGUCCAGACUCCUACGGGAGCAGCAGUAA